rnacentral:miRNA from 1 species
AACCUCAUUGACCUGAAGGAAAUCCUUCUGGUCAAUGAGGUAUAACAACCUCAUCGACCGGAAGGGAUUCCUUCCGGUUGAUGAGGUG